CCCUAUUACCCUCCCUAAUCCUCCCCCAUUACCCUCCCUCAUCCUCCCCCGUUAACCUCCCUCGUUACCCUCCCUAAUCCUCCCCCGUAACCCCUCUAACUCCCAGGUCUUUGUGCUGUGCUGAUAUAUAUAUAUAUAGACUAAAGCUUUUCAGGGUCAUCAUCAAUGUAAAUGACAAUGAGACACGUGAUUCCUCCCAGUUCAUCAGUCAAGUCUACUAAAAAGCCAUAGAGCCUCAUUGUAAACCAGCGGCAGAAAGGAAACCUGUUAACACGCAGCGUCGUCGUGUCUCUUCAAUAGAAGACUAAUGGAUCACAGGAUAAUAUCGUCUGAAACACGAGAGAAGCUAGGAGCCCGGGGCUCCGUGGCGACUAGGCAGCUAUAGGGGGAUUGUACAUUGCUCAUAGUUUAAACUUUCUUUCUAUAAAAAUUCCUCAACUUCCUUUUGUUGAUUUCAAGCAUAAACGUUGUCCAGCUUUUCCACGGACAACAUCGUCCCUUUCCUUCCUCUCUUCUUCCUCGGUUUGGCAUGACGGUCGUAGUAAUGACUAGGAACAUUACAUACUACUACACUGGGUUGAGUUAGAGAGAGAGAGAGAAACAGAGAGAGAGACAGAGAGACGAAGAGAGCGCGAGAGAUGAAGAGAGAGAGAGAGAGAGACGAAGAGAGAGAGAGAGACGAAGAGAGAGAGAGAGACGAAGAGAGAGAGAGACGAAGAGAGAGAGAGACGAAGAGAGCGAGAGAGAGAGAGAGACAAAGAGAGCGAGAGAGAGAGAGAGAGAGAGAGGAAAAGAGAGAGGAAAAGAGAGAGAGAGAGAGAGAGACGAAGAGAGAGAGAGACAAAGAGAGAGAGAGGAAAAGAGAGAGAGAGGAAAAGAGAGAGAGAGGAAAAGAGAGAGAGAGAGACAAAGAGAGAGAGAGAGAGAGGAAAGAGAGAGAGGAAAAGAGAGAGAGAGAGAGAGACGAAGAGAGAGAGAGACAAAGAGAGAGAGAGAGAGACAAAGAGAGAGAGAGAGAGAGAGGAAAAGAGAGAGAGAAAGAGAGAGAGAGAGAGAGAGAGAGAGAGAGAGAGAGAGAGAGAGAGAGACGAAGAGAGAGACAGAGAGACGAAGAGAGAGAGAGAGAGAGAGAGAGAGAGACGAAGAGAGAGACAGAGAGAGACUUGGGUGCAGCGUCACGUCUCAACAGACAGAAGUCUUGUCCCUCGUCUAACCGUCAUCUCCACAGACACACAAUAACACCCAGUGAUAACGGAUCAGAGGGCUUUAGUGACCUGGUCCCUUCUCCCUGAUGGUUUAAGGUUAGGAUGUAAGGAGGAGAGAUGAUCCUACAUCUGUGUUAAAGGGGAGGACUUGUGCCCAAAAGCAUGGUAUUCCCUGAACAGCCUUGAAGAACCAAAAUCAGAUUUAGAACCCCUUUCCUGAGUCAGGCUAAGAGCCAAUCAGAACCCCUUUUCCUGAGUCAGGCUAAGAGCCAAAUCAGAACCCCUUUUCCUGAGUCAGGCUAAGUGGCGGUCCUCUGAAACAAUAGCAACUAGCACCAUGCUAACAGCGCCAUGCUAGCAGCACCAUGCUAGCAGCACCAUGCUACCCUGAAAUGUAGUUAACUCAUCCCACGUGACAGUACCCUCUGCUGGGUUAGAUCAGCACAGAGACACCCCUCAUACCACCACACUACCAGCCUGUCUACCCUGUCAGAGCACAACAACACACACUAACAUACACACACCAUCCAGGCCUCCUAGUCUGCAGAGAGAGAGACAGACAGGCCUCCUAGUCUGCAGAGAGAGAGACAGACAGGCCUCCUAGUCUGCAGAGAGAGAGACAGACAGGCCUCCUAGUCUGCAGAGAGAGACAGACAGGCCUCCUAGUCUGCAGAGAGAGACAGACAAGCCUCCUAGUCUGCAGAGAGACAGACAGGCCUCCUAGUCUGCAGAGAGAGAGACAGGACGCAGACUAGGAGGCUGUCUUCUCUCCUCUCCUUCCAUCUUUAAAUAAUCCAAGUGCAAAUCCAAAAAGCUCCUCAGUUCAGCGUCUCAAUAAAGUUAUUAUUAACACCUCAGUUCAGCGUCUCAAUAAAGUUAUUAUUAACACCACAGUUCAGUGUCUCAAUAAAGUUAUUAUUCACACACACAAAAAUAAACCUGGUUUCCAAUGUUUCAUGCAACAGUUUGUUAAAACAAAAAAGUGAGAUAAGCCAAAAAAAUAUAUAUAUAUCUGGAAUUAAGUAAACAAAUAUUAUUAUUGUUGUUGUUGAUUGAAUGAUAUUUGGUAGAGCGGUUGUUUAACACGGUUGAAUACUGGCACAGCACUGGCAGAAUAAUACUCAAGGGGGUUUGUAUUGUACGCUAAUGCUUUUAAGUUAUUCAGUACAGUCAAGGAACGCGACGUCAAAACAACACAACUAGCAACUUCUACCAGUCAAAUAAAACUACUGGGAGAGAAACAACAGUUUUUAUUAUUAUUUUGUUCGUUUUUUUUUUUUAAAGACACUAAAUAAAAAUCGAAGUAAAUAAAUGAAGGUCCAUGGCUUUGCCUAAUGCUGUUUUGAAGCUUUCACACAUUGUGCAUCAUCAUAACUCAACAAUCAACAUUGUAAAUAGUGGCUAAAUCUAUGUUUAUUAUUUAAAGGCAUUGUGUUUACGACCAACGAUAGGUUACAUUCACCCCCCCAGCGAUGACAGACAGAGAGCCAUCUAGGGAGGUAUGAAGAAGCCAAAACACCCCCUUCCCGAUUCAACAGGACCGAUUCUAAAAUGGCUGCCUGCUCCCCACACCAGCAGUAGUGCACUAAAGGGAAUAACAACGGGAGUCUUUAGAGCCACACAGAUGAGACUACCAGUCUUACCUGUCAAGACUACCAGUCUUACCUGUCAAGACUACCAGUCUUACCUGUCAAGACUACCAGUCUUACCUGUCAAGACUACCAGUCUUACCUGUCAAGACUACCAGUCUUACCUGUCAAGACU
rnacentral:lncRNA from 1 species